rnacentral:rRNA from 1 species
GACGAACGCUGGCGGCGUGCCUAAUACAUGCAAGUAGAACGCACAGUUUAUACCGUAGCUUGCUACACCAUAGACUGUGAGUUGCGAACGGGUGAGUAACGCGUAGGUAACCUGCCUGAUAGCGGGGGAUAACUAUUGGAAACGAUAGCUAAUACCGCAUAAUAUUAAUUAUUGCAUGAUAAUUAAUUGAAAGGUGCAAUUGCACCACUACCAGAUGGACCUGCGUUGUAUUAGCUAGUAGGUGAGGUAACGGCUCACCUAGGCGACGAUACAUAGCCGACCUGAGAGGGUGAUCGGCCACACUGGGACUGAGACACGGCCCAGACUCCUACGGGAGGCAGCAGUAGGGAAUCUUCGGCAAUGGACGAAAGUCUGACCGAGCAACGCCGCGUGAGUGAAGAAGGGUGUCGGAUCGUAAAGCUCUGUUGUAAGAGAAGAACGGGUGUGAGAGUGGAAAGUUCACACUGUGACGGUAUCUUACCAGAAAGGGACGGCUAACUACGUG